rnacentral:rRNA from 1 species
ACACUCCUACGGGAGGCAGCAGUGGGGAAUUUUGGACAAUGGGCGAAAGCCUGAUCCAGCAAUGCCGCGUGCAGGAUGAAGGCCUUCGGGUUGUAAACUGCUUUUGUACGGAACGAAAAAGCUCCUUCUAAUACAGGGGGCCCAUGACGGUACCGUAAGAAUAAGCACCGGCUAACUACGUGCCAGCAGCCGCGGUAAUACGUAGGGUGCGAGCGUUAAUCGGAAUUACUGGGCGUAAAGCGUGCGCAGGCGGUUAUGUAAGACAGAUGUGAAAUCCCCGGGCUCAACCUGGGAACUGCAUUUGUGACUGCAUGGCUAGAGUACGGUAGAGGGGGAUGGAAUUCCGCGUGUAGCAGUGAAAUGCGUAGAUAUGCGGAGGAACACCGAUGGCGAAGGCAAUCCCCUGGACCUGUACUGACGCUCAUGCACGAAAGCGUGGGGAGCAAACAGGAUUAGAUACCCGUGUAGUCCCAU